CGUCGUGUGUGGACACAUCUUCCUGCUCCUUCCUCAAGCUCCGGACUAUUAGCGCCCUGUGUUUUGUUCCUGCUCUUUCGUAUCCGAAGGUUUAGCAGGGCAAUAUACCGUCCCAAAUCACUUGCUAGGUCUCCAGCUUCCGGGUCAUAAUUUGCAGCCAGUAAUUCUAAUCUUUUCUGCGGUUGCCAUUAAAAUCCGGCAGGAGAGGACUGAAUGAGAGCAAAGGACAGGUAUUGGCCAAGACUGAAACUAAACGAACUCAUACAUAGACUGAACUAUAAGGGCACUUGGGGACCUCCGCCAUUUCGUAAUGUUGAAGACAGUGAAAAAAAAAAAGGCUGGACCCUCCCCAUGAUCUGGAUCCUCUCCAAAAUUGAUUGGUGUCUCCUGAGGAGAAUCAUGGACGGAACGCCCUCACUUCGCGGCAGAUCGGAGACGGCAGAGAUGGAAGGAUUUUGGAGCCUCUUUCAAAGCGGGCGGGGGAGAAGUCUGGCCCUGAUAAGGCCGUCGUCGUUGUCUCGGAAACAAAGCUCGGAGAGAACCUGUUAAGCCAGCGCUGGAGCUCAUAUUAGAAUGCAAAUGAGCAUCUACGAACAGGGCAUAGUAUAUUAACACAAUAAUAGGGUGCAGGGGGCUGCAGAGGAGAUUAAUAUUAUAGGAAGAGUUCGAUUGUUUUAAAGACAGCAACAGUUAGAGACAUUAGUGCUGCAUGCAUGCUGGGAAAAUAGGUUUUAACCUCUGACCCGGUCUGUCUUGAGAAAAAUGAGGUUCCAUAGGAAAAGGCUGAAUUAUGUUUCAUAAUGUGGAAAUAUGGCAUCAUCUAUAGGUUGUUUGGACAACAUUCACUGUUGCAUUGCCACUGAUGUAGGUGAUUCGGAUCUACAGGAACUAUAUGAACGAUGAACCACAAAGUGUUAAGUUGAUUCCAUGUUUGUGAUGAAUCUUAAGUGGUGUGUGAUUUGGAUCUAUUCAAAUCCACCAUAAUAAAAAAAGACCACUUAAAGGACAA
ensembl:lncRNA